rnacentral:rRNA from 1 species
CUAUGCGCCUUGCCAGCCCGCUCAGGUGUGCCAGCAGCCGCGGUAAUACGUAGGGGGCAAGCGUUAUCCGGAUUUACUGGGUGUAAAGGGAGCGUAGACGGCCGGACAAGUCUGAAGUGAAAAUCCAGCGCUUAACGUUGGAAGUGCUUUGGAAACUGCCGGGCUGGAGUGCAGGAGGGGCAGGCGGAAUUCCUAGUGUAGCGGUGAAAUGCGUAGAUAUUAGGAGGAACACCAGUGGCGAAGGCGGCCUGCUGGACUGCAACUGACGUCGAGGCUCGAAGGCGUGGGGAGCAAACAGG